ACUCCCAUGGGAUGGGACUCGGCCUAUCACCUUGUUGKUGAGGUAAUGCCCCACCAAGGCGAUUACAGGUACGGGCUCUGAGAGRARAAGCCCGGAGAUGGGUACUGAGACACGGACCCAGGCCCUAUGGGGCGCAGCAGGCGAGAAACCUUAGCAAUGUGCGAAAGCACGACUGGGUCAGUCCGAGUGAUUCCUGAUAAAGGAGUCUUUUGCCUGYCCUAAAAGCACACGUGAAUAAGGGGUGGGCAAGUCUGGUGUCAGCCGCCGCGGUAAUACCAGCACCUCGAGUGGUCAGGACGUUUAUUGGGCCUAAAGCAUCCGUAGCCGGCUUUGCAAGUCUUCGGUUAAAUCCACCUGCUCAACAGAUGGGCCGCUGGAGAUACUACAGAGCUAGGGAGUGGGAGAGGCAGACGGUAUUCAGUGGGUGGGGGUAAAAYCCUCUGAUCCAUUGAGGACCACCAGUGGCGAAGGCGGUCUGCCAGAACACGUUCGACGGUGAGGGAUGAAAGCUGGGGGAGCAAACCGGAUUAGAUACCCGGGUAGUCCCAGCUGUAAACGAUGCAAACUCGGUGAUGCAUUGGCUUAUGGCCAAUGCAGUGCCGCAGGGAAGCCGUUAAGUUUGCCGCCUGGGAAGUACGGACGCAAGUCUGAAACUUAAAGGAAUUGGCGGGGGAGCACCACAAGGGGUGAAGCUGCGGUUCAAUUGGAGUCAACGCCGGA
rnacentral:rRNA from 1 species